AAGUUUUCAGUCUUUUAACAAUGUCCAUUAAUUUCUGAAUUCUUCUCUUUAUCUGCAUUGUCCUCUUCAAUGGAAUGGUCCUCUCCUUACUGAUCUUUCUGACUGCAGACUCAAUUUGCCUGAUGAUUCUCAGCUUCCACAAUUUCAUCUUCAUUUUCUUCUUCAAAGAUUUCAGGCAACCAGAGCACAAGGAAUAGAGCGGAUGGGGUCACUUGGCUUUGAAGACUUCCUGUAUAUUUUUAAGCCGCCCAUGACAUCAUUUUUGCAGGACAGCUCAGAACAAUAGGCGGGGGCGGUAAGAAAAGCACCAAAUCCACAAAUUCAGAUGAACAGUGUAAGAGGGUGCAACAGAAACACAUCAACAAUCUGGACUUUUCUGACAUGACUGAGAGAAGAACAGUCGAGAUUUGUGAGCCUGGGCCCCAAGGUUUCAGUGAUGGUCAAAGUAGACACUCCACUCAGAGCCCUCAGCCUUUUUCCCUGUUUUUCAACUGAGCUGUGACCUCCUCUUUCAGUUACUGGGAAUAACAACAACAACCACACAGAGACAAUCAUGUGACCCCAAAUUGUCCACAUGGCCAAGUUCAAUAAAUUAGCAGCCAGAAAUUUUAAUCA
rnacentral:lncRNA from 1 species